CAGUCGCCGCGGUAAUACAGAGGGUGCGAGCGUUAAUCGGAAUUACUGGGCGUAAAGCGCACGUAGGCGGAUACUUAAGUCAGGGGUGAAAUCCCGGGGCUUAACCCCGGAACUGCCUUUGAUACUGGGUAUCUCGAGUCCGGAAGAGGUGAGUGGAAUUCCGAGUGUAGAGGUGAAAUUCGUAGAUAUUCGGAGGAACACCAGUGGCGAAGGCGACUUUCUGGUCUGUAACUGACGCUGAUGUGCGAAAGCGUGGGGAUCAAACAGGAUUAGAUACCCCCGUAGUCCCUGUCUCUUAUAC
rnacentral:rRNA from 1 species